UUUUUGGCUGUUCAAUGCUUUUAUCAGGAAGCCCUUGUAGAGGGAAAGGACACUUGUUGUGUCUGCCUCCACAAUGUUGGCGUGUGCUUAAGGUGUAGCAGUGGGGAUUGCAACAUUACUUUUCAUCCUACUUGCGCUAGAAGUUGUGGUUUUUACAUGAACACAAAAGGGUUUGGUACUACACCACAGCACAAAGCAUACUGUGGCAAACACAGCGUACAACAGAAAGAGGCUGAUGCACAGCAAUAUGGACCUGAGGAGCACACGAGCAUGAAAUGAAUGAGGGUUAGCAUGCCAGAUUUACAUUAUAUUGUUUCCCUGUGUUUGGUAGCAUAAGAAUGUUUGCACAAUUACUAGAAAUUUAAUGCAAAUAUUUUUAUAGAAUAUUUCAAAUGCUCGAAGCAUUUGGACAUCUACA